GUAGGGGGCAAGCGUUGUCCGGAUUCACUGGGUGUAAAGGGCGCGCAGGCGGGUUAGCAAGUCAGAGGUGAAAUCCUACAGCUUAACUGUAGAACUGCCUUUGAGACUGCUAAUCUUGAGUACGGAAGAGAGAGAUGGAAUUCCAGGUGUAGUGGUGAAAUACGUAGAUAUCUGGAAGAACACCAGUGGCGAAGGCGGUCUCUUGGUCCUAUACUGACGCUAAGGCGCGAAAGCGUGGGGAGCAAACAGGAUUAGAUACCCUGGUAGUCCACGCUGUAAACGAUGAAUACUAGGUGUCGGGUCGAAAGGUUCGGUACCGAAGCUAACGCAUUAAGUAUUCCACCUGGGGAGUACGAUCGCAAGGUUGAA
rnacentral:rRNA from 1 species